AGUGAAUAGAUACCCAGGUAGUCCUAGCCGUAAACGAUACUCGCUAGGUGUCGGCCACGGUGCGACCGUUGUCGGUGCCGUUGGGAAAGCCGUGAAGCGAGCCACCUGGGGAAGUACGGCCGCAAGGCUGAAACUUAAAGGAAUUGGCGGGGGAGCACCACAACGGGUGGAGCUUGCGGUUUAAAUUGGAUUCAACGCCGGAAAUCUUACCGGGACCGACAGCAACAUGAAGGCCAGGCUGAAGACUUUGCCGGAUUAGCUGAGAGGUGGUGCAUGGCCGUCGUCAGUUCGUACUGUGAAGCAUCCUGUUAAGUCAGGCAACGAGCGAGACCCACGCCCACAGUUGCCAGCGUACUCUCUGGAGUGACGGGUACACUGUGGGGACCGCCGCUGCUAAAGCGGAGGAAGGAAUGGGCAACGGUAGGUCAGUAUGCCCCGAAUAUCCCGGGCUACACGCGAGCUACAAUGGUUGGUACAAUGGGUAUCUA
rnacentral:rRNA from 1 species